rnacentral:rRNA from 1 species
GUGGGGAAUAUUGCGCAAUGGGGGAAACCCUGACGCAGCUACGCCGCGUGGGUGAUGAAGGCCUUCGGGUCGUAAAGCCCUGUCGGGAGGGACGAAGUUCUGACGGUACCUCCCAAGAAAGCACCGGCUAACUCCGUGCCAGCAGCCGCGGUAAUACGGAGGGUGCAAGCGUUGCUCGAAUUUACUGGGCGUAAAGCGCACGCAGGCGGAAUGAAGGGUCGGAUGUGAAAGCCCGGGGCUCAACCCCGGAAUUGCAUUCGAAACCGCCAUUCUAGAGUACGGGAGAGGGAAGUGGAAUUCCUGGUGUAGAGGUGAAAUUCGUAGAUAUCAGGAGGAACACCGGUGGCGAAAGCGGCUUCCUGGCCCGAUACUGACGCUCAUGUGCGAAAGCGUGGGGAGCAAACAGGAUUAGAUACCCUAGUAGUCC